rnacentral:misc_RNA from 1 species
AUGAAACGAAGGACGCUCUUUUUAGAGGUCCGACCAAUCAUUUACCUUUACACUGUGCACAUACUACUUUUUUACACCAAUUUUUAACGCAUUAGUUUUAAGAAUGUAAAAUCAGUCUCGAAAGAGCAUAAAAUAAACA